AUACACACCCCCUUCACUUCUGAUCCUCACUGACUCUUCCUGUUUGGUCUCUGCCACCCACUUUGAAUGAAAGGGACCAUGUCUGUUUUGUUCACUGCCAUGCAUCACCCCACUCCGCCUGGAGCCUAGAACAGUACCUGGCAUAGAGGAGGUCGCUCAGAAGAAGUGACUAAUGAAGGUGGAAGUGUCCAGGGCCUACGGAAGUUGGAAUGCAGCUCUGCACACAGUCCUGGGCUCUGGAAGGCAGGCGUUGGCCACUGUGCCAACUUCCCCGACUGAGCAUGGCUGGUGCCAGUGGGCAUUGAGACCAGAGAUGUUUAACACACACCUGCUGUGUGCCAUCAGGUGUAUCCCGGUCAGCCUGGGAAGAGAAGAUAUUACAUAGAAAACCAAGGGCAAGACAAGAUAGGAUGCGCUCUCCAAUGGUUCCACACCCAGCUCGAAGCCCAACAUGGGACUUGAAUUCACAAACCUGAGAUGGAGACCAAAGCUGAGAUCAAGAGCUGGAUGCUUAACUGACUGAGCCAACCAGAGGCCCUUUCUCCAUCGUCGUUGAGUCAAAUGAACUCUUUGACUUCAAGAGGCCACCACCCCCACCCAGCUUGAGAAGGAUGUGUGGGUUAGCUACUGGGUGGGGGUUAGCCUGCUGCCCCACAGGAAAUCCACAGUCCUCACCCCGACCUCUGCACAACUGCCUCCAGCCCUCUUAAAAAUCGUGUGAGACUUACUGCACUUCACUCAUUCAUGCCUCCAUCCAUCCACCCAUUCAUUCAUUCUGUAUUUCUGAAAGCUGGUAAUGUGCAGAGCGCUGCCCUCUCCUGCAUCAUCCAUGUGGAGCCAAAUGAGAGUAGCAGCUCUAAAUGCUUUGCAUAGGGGAUCCCUGGGUGGCGCAGCGGUUUGGCGCCUGCCUUUGGCCCAGGGCGCGAUCCUGGAGACCCGGGGUCGAAUCCCACGUCAGGCUCCCGGUGCAUGGA